rnacentral:rRNA from 1 species
UUGGCCCGCGUGGAUUAGGCUUGCAAGUCGAGCGUACCCAGCAAUGGGGAAGCGGCAAACGGGGUAGUAAUGCGUCGGUACGUGCCCUCGGGACGAGGAUAGCCACGGGAAACUGUGGGUAAUACUCGAUGAUCUCGCGAGAGCAAAGGUGUGACUCCGCCGGAGGAGCGGCUGACGUGGUAUUAGGUAGUUGGUAGGGUAAUGGCCUACCAAGCCUGGGAUGCCUAGGGGGUGUGAGAGCAUGGCCCCCACCAUUGGGACUGAGAAACUGCCCAGACACCUACGGGUGGCUGCAGUCGAGGAUCUUCGGCAAUGGGCGCAAGCCUGACCGAGCGACGCCGCGUGCGGGAUGAAGGCCUUCGGGUUGUAAACCGCUGUCAGGUGGGAUGAAAUCAUGGUGGGUACUCCCAUCAUGUUGACAGAGCCCCAGAGGAAGCGCGGGCUAAGUUCGUGCCAGCAGCCGCGGUAAUACGAACUGCGCGAACGUUAUUCGGAAUCACUGGGCUUACAGGGUGCGUAGGUGGCAGAGAAAGUAGGGUGUGAAAUGCCUUGGCUCAACCAGGCACAGCGCUCUAACUC